rnacentral:rRNA from 1 species
GACGUAGGGCGCGAGCGUUGUCCGGAUUUAUUGGGCGUAAAGAGCUCGUAGGCGGCUUGUCGCGUCGACCGUGAAACCUCACAGCUCAACUGUGAGCCUGCGGUCGAUACGGGCAGGCUAGAGUUCGGUAGGGGAGACUGGAAUUCCUGGUGUAGCGGUGAAAUGCGCAGAUAUCAGGAGGAACACCGGUGGCGAAGGCGGGUCUCUGGGCCGAUAUUGACGCUGGGGAGCGAAAGCGUGGGGAGCGAACAGG